ACAUUGGUGGCUCAGUGGUAGAAUUCUCACCUUCCACAUGGGUGACCCAGGAUCAAUUCCUGGCCAAUACC
rnacentral:tRNA from 1 species